UACAGGGGGUGCAAACGUUGCUCGGAAUUAUUGGGCGUAAAGCGCGCGUAGGCGGCUACUUAAGUCGGAUGUGAAAGCCCCCGGCUCAACUGGGGAGGGUCACGCGAUACUGAUCGACUCGAAGGCAGGAGAGGGUAGUGGAAUUCCCGGUGUAGUGGUGAAAUGCGUAGAUAUCGGGAGGAACACCAGUGGCGAAGGCGACUACCUGGCCUGUUCUUGACGCUGAGGCGCGAAAGCUAGGGGAGCAAACAGG
rnacentral:rRNA from 1 species